AGCCACAGCCAUAUCACCCUGCAGCCCAAGACUGGUUGUCCACUGAAGCUAAGCAGGGUUGAGCCUGGUCAGUACCAGGAUGGGAGAUGUCCUGGGAAGACCGGUCGCCGUGAUUU
rnacentral:rRNA from 1 species